CUGAUUGGACGCUGCAUACAGGCUGCUGGCUCAGGACUCAGGUCUCUGGUAGAAGUGGUGCAGUCGAUAGCUCUGAUUGGACGCUGCAUACAGGCUGCUGGCUCAGGACUCAGGUCUCUGGUAGAAGUGGUGCAGUCGAUAGCUCUGAUUGGACGCUGCAUACAGGCUGCUGGCUCAGGACUCAGGUCUCUGGUAGAAGUGGUGCAGUCGAUAGCUCUGAUUGGACGCUGCAUACAGGCUGCUGGCUCAGGACUCAGGUCUCUGGUAGAAGUGGUGCAGUCGAUAGCUCUGAUUGGACGCUGCAUACAGGCUGCUGGCUCAGGACUCAGGUCUCUGGUAGAAGUGGUGCAGUCGAUAGCUCUGAUUGGACGCUGCAUACAGGCUGCUGGCUCAGGACUCAGGUCUCUGGUAGAAGUGGUGCAGUCGAUAGCUCUGAUUGGACGCUGCAUACAGGCUGCUGGCUCAGGACUCAGGUCUCUGGUAGAAGUGGUGCAGUCGAUAGCUCUGAUUGGACGCUGCAUACAGGCUGCUGGCUCAGGACUCAGGUCUCUGGUAGAAGUGGU